AUGUCUAAUUCAAUUUCAAUUUACUUAAGUGUUAAGCAGAUGAUAUAAUAGCAUCAAUUAAUACCAAACCAAUCUAAUUUCAUUAUUUCUUUCAACAUAAUUGAUUUAUUGUUUCCAUUGUUUUCAAUCCUUUUUAUCCUUCAAGGAUCGUGUAAACAAAUCCUUCAUCUGAGCAAUUAUUGGUGCAAGUGAUUCUCAACAUGGAGUAAUCAAAUUACCUAUUUUUAUAAUUAAUUGAAGUCGUAAGACUUUUUUACCUUUUCUAAUUAUAUAAGCUCUAUUUGCCUUUAAUUUCAUCAACCUGUUUCUCUAAGUGUUUUUAUAAUUAGAGCAUGUGUUUCAACAGAUCGUGUUUUGUGUAUAAAAAAAUGCCAAGACUGACUUGUUAGAGGCCUAACAAGUAAAAUGGUGAGAAAAGUUGGAAAAUGUCUAAACCUCAAUUAACCUGAAGACAUCAUUAACAGAUUUAUUAAUACUUUUCAUCUCGUGUUUGCUUUUAUUUUUCCGAGAAACCAACCUCCUUCAUCAUUUUCGUCAUCAUCAUCCUGCUUCUUGGACGUCUUGGUGGAAAUUAUUUUGAUUUAGUUCUUCAGAUUAUUAUUUGAAAGAUUUUUAUUUAUACGUUCGAGUGCUGCUAAUUUUGGCAGAAACAUAACCCAUCUUCAUCUACCAUGAGUUAUCCCGAAAAGGUCACCUGUUUUUCCUUCAAUUUUACCCCCCUUUUCACUUACCACCAAACCUUGCAUAAUUUUUCUAGUCUUUAUUGAGGUCAAAUAAUUCAAAAUUACAUUUAUUUAUAACUAAACCAUUUUUAGUCUGGUAACACUUGAUUUAAAGCAAACAUCAAUUUGGUAUUACAACUCAAAGGACAACUUGAAAGCAAACAAACGAGCAGAAGAACUUUACCUGAUAUCAAAUGAUACCAUUUUUGGCAUAACAUUGGGUUGGUUUUAACCAGGCAACAGAUGGUGUAACUGGCAACAUGGCAAUUCUCUUAAGGAGCAAAUCAAUGUUAAAUAUUGACCCUGCCUAAGUGGGGUUACACCAGUUUUACAUUUUUACAAAUUACAUCUUAACCAGCCCAAAUAAAGGAUUCAUGCAACUUCAACUUCAAGAAUAAUUGGAUUUACUAUUCCUUCCCAAGAAUCCUUGAUCAAAAUGGUCAUAAAAUUACAUCUUCUAACAUAAUUACCAAACAUUCAGCCAAAUUUACCAUGAAAAGAUGAUGAACACAGACAAAAGGAGAAACCAUGGAGGAACACAAAUUGUGUCAACCAUGGUGAAACCAAGCAUUGGAAAAAAAUGAAUAACCUUCAUCAUUAUCAUAUAAAUGAAUAUAUUAACUAUCAACAUGACAGAAUCACAGAAAGAAUACACACAAAUACAAUUUAGUGGUAAAUUUCAAAGCUUCACCAAUUAUCAGACAAAUGCAAAAGCGUCCAUUGAUACAUGUCUUAACAAUUGGACAAAAAGGAAGACCAGAACAUGGAAAACGAAUUGACUAUUCAAAAGGAUUAACAAUUUACUUCAAAGUUACAAUCAAAAGCCAGACCCAGCUCCAGAACGGAACAACACUCCUGGUAAUAUGAAAGGUCAACAAAUUCCGUUUUCCUGGUCAAUCAUUAAAUCCAACCUUCAUCUAAUAUUUAUUAUGAUUCAAUAUAUCAUGGUGGAUGGUAUUGAAUGUUAGUGUUAUAAUAUAAAUGAUAGAGUUGGCGGAUCAAAAUUAAUCAAUCAAACAAAGAGAAACAAGUGGAAAGAAAAUAAAUCAACAGCAAAUAAUAAGGUUACAAAUGAUGAUUCCAGGGUUGGAUAAAAAUUGCAGAACUUUACUUCUGCUCGCAAAAUCAAGACAAGAAUGAAAAUCAAAUUUGCUGCUUUAAUGAACCAAAAAACCAGUAAACAUAAGAAAUGAAAUUUGAUGAUGGAAUAGGAAAAUGAGCAACUUUUUUACCCAAUUUGGAAACAAUUUUUAUCCAAUUUCUGGUAAAAGCUUCAAUUCUGGUUAAAUGAAGACACAGCAAUUGAUCAAGACUUUUCCCAAGGAGCCACUAAACCAGAUUUUGUCAUUUCCAUCAAGAAACUUGGCAUUUAAAUUUAAUUUAACAAGGAAUGCUUAUGGAUUCAUCAAUUAGAGUCUAAAAAAUGGCAAAUUAAUUUGGGUUUCAUUUCAAGAAAACUUGCAAGUCUUUUGAAUGCCAGUGAAAAGGUUAAUUAAUAUUACCUAAAAUAACCAUUAAUCGAUUGGAAGGUGAUUAACAUUAUUUGCUUUCAUCAACUUUACCAGUUGAACCGUUAUGAUUAUUUAAUAACGUUUACUUAGCUAAUGAGAGAGCAAAAGGUGAAAAAAGGUUGAAAAAUGAAAGGCAAUUCAAUUUAAUCGUAAUAAGCUAAGCAGUGUUUACCAGUUACUUGAAUCAUGUUUAACUUUAGUUUUCAGAUUUAAUCAUUUUCCAUCUUCCCAACCUCUUCAUUAUCUUCCUCUUAUCCAGUAUUAAGCACUAAAGUUAAUUGAGUUUUGUAUCCAUUGAAGUGUCCAAAAGAAAGGCCAAGAAACUGAUCAACUCCAAAUCUCUUGGCCACUUGAAUUACCUUUCCCAUUGCCAUUCCUUUUUAUCCUCUUUAUAUCUUUUUCACUCGUCAUCUAAAUCGCCCUCUUAAUCACUGUUUUUCACAUCAUUGAUGCUGUUGACCAACUCAAUCAACACUCGAGGUGUAACAUUAGUCAAGAGAUGUUUCAGAUUUCAGUUGAUCAUCCAAGGAUCCAAGAUUAGUUUGAAAUUAAAGUGAAACAUGGACCGAUUCAUAAUCGAUUUAACACUCUUCUCGUUUACAAUAUCAAGCUGUUAGCAAAUUAUCUUUUAAUAAUAACUCAGGUUCAAGUAAUUUCAGGUUUCAAGAACAUUAACUUUUCCAGAUUUAUCUUGAAAUGUUUACAAUUGUUAAAGGCGAAUCUUGCAAUUUGAAAAUGGAAAAUUAUUCUACAAAUUUUUUCUCAAUUUAUCAAUAAUGAAUAGACUCAUGGAAUUGCAUGGAAAACUUACGUGAGGGAAAGGAAAUGUUCAUUCAAUAUGAUUAUGAUAUUCUGAAUUGCUCAGUGUUUAGUUGACUGCAACUAAUCUGGAAAGAUGGGAAAAAAAUGUUGGUCUAUUGAAGGUAAAGUAAAUGAUUAGAAGUUGAUUGUCAGAUUUGAUUAGUAUUUUCAGCAUGAGAGUAAAGUUCAUUUGGAAGCUCUAACAUUCAUGCCUAUCCAGAAGAAUAAACAAUUUCCUGAGAUUGCAGAGCAUCAAUAAUUAUCAGAGCCACAAAGAAAAAACGAAACUCAAUAGAAUGUUAAGAAUCAAGUUUGACUUUUAUUGUUACAGGGACUGAACAGAGUUCAUCUUUAAACCAAAAAUGCUGCAUUUAGUCUGAAUAAAGACUUGCAUUCUUGGCUUUAUCCAAUGUUUUUAUAAACUUAAUUUUUGGUUCAUUUCUAGCAGAAGGAAUUCCUGGAUAGGAAAUUUCUUUAUCAUGUUGAUCAUGAUUAGUAUUCCUACAAUCCCAGUCUGUAAUAAACUCUUGUCGGGUCUGGGACAAAUCAAUUUAAAACAAUUUCUCUGAUAGAAAAUUAUCUUUUCAUAGAAGGAUAAAGACCAAAAUAAUAGGGUGAACUAUUUAGCAAGCAAUUUUUCGUUAUGCAUAAAUUAUGUGUUGAAUUUUACACUAAACUCAUUACGCUUAUCCAUUCUUCAAAAUGUUCUGUUUUGUGAUAUCGUAAAAAUGUAAAUGCAUGAGAACUAGUUCAUUUUAACUGACUGAAACCAACGCAAUAAAAUGGAUUAGUUACAGUUUACCCUGAAAAAUGAAUUAAACUGAUUUAUUUUGA